rnacentral:rRNA from 1 species
CAGCCGCCGCGGUGAUACAGAGGAUGCAAGCGUUAUCCGGAAUGAUUGGGCGUAAAGCGUCUGUAGGUGGCUUUUCAAGUCCGCCGUCAAAUCCCAGGGCUCAACCCUGGACAGGCGGUGGAAACUACUAAGCUAGAGUACGAUAGGGGUAGAGGGAAUUUCCGGUGGAGCGGUGAAAUGCGUUGAGAUUGGAAAGAACACCAACGGCAAAGGCACUCUGUUGGGCCGACACUGACACUGAGAGACGAAAGUUAAGGGAGCAAAUGGGAUUAGAUACCCGCGUAGUCCCUGUCUCUUAUAC